rnacentral:rRNA from 1 species
UACGGGGGGGGGCAAGCGUUGUUCGGAAUUACUGGGCGUAAAGGGCUCGUAGGCGGCCAACUAAGUCAGACGUGAAAUCCCUCGGCUUAACCGGGGAACUGCGUCUGAUACUGGAUGGCUUGAGUUCGGGAGAGGGAUGCGGAAUUCCAGGUGUAGCGGUGAAAUGCGUAGAUAUCUGGAGGAACACCGGUGGCGAAGGCGGCAUCCUGGACCGACACUGACGCUGAGGAGCGAAAGCCAGGGGAGCAAAACGGGG